GAAAUGCGAUAAGUAAUGUGAAUUGCAGAAUUCAGUGAAUCAUCGAAUCUUUGAACGCACAUUGCGCCCGCCAGUAUUCUGGCGGGCAUGCCUGUUCGAGCGUCAUUUCAACCAUCAAGCCCCGGGCUUGUGUUGGGGACCUGCGGCUGCCGCAGGCCCUGAAAACCAGUGGCGGGCUCGCUGUCACACCGAGCGUAGUAGAUUCUCAUCUCGCUCAGGGCGUGCUGCGGGUUCCGGCCGUAAAACAGCCUUAUUUUACCCAAGGUUGACCUCGGAUCAGGUAGGAAGACCCGCUGAACUUAAG
rnacentral:misc_RNA from 1 species